GAUGAACGCUAGCUACAGGCUUAACACAUGCAAGUCGAGGGGAAACGACAUCGAAAGCUUGCUUUUGGUGGGCGUCGACCGGCGCACGGGUGAGUAACGCGUAUCCAACCUGCCCACCACUUGGGGAUAACCUUGCGAAAGUAAGACUAAUACCCAAUGAUAUCCCACGAAGGCAUCCGAAUGGGAUUUAAAGAUUUAUCGGUGAUGGAUGGGGAUGCGUCUGAUUAGCUUGUUGGCGGGGUAACGGCCCACCAAGGCUACGAUCAGUAGGGGUUCUGAGAGGAAGAUCCCCCACAUUGGAACUGAGACACGGUCCAAACUCCUACGGGAGGCAGCAGUGAGGAAUAUUGGUCAAUGGGCGAGAGCCUGAACCAGCCAAGUAGCGUGCAGGACGACGGCCCUAUGGGUUGUAAACUGCUUUUAUAAGGGAAUAAAGUGGGUCACGUGUGACUUUUUGCAUGUACCUUAUGAAUAAGGACCGGCUAAUUCCGUG
rnacentral:rRNA from 1 species